ensembl:snRNA U2 U2 spliceosomal RNA
AUCACUUCUCCACCUUUUGGCUAAGAUCAAGUGUCAUAUCUGUUCUUAUCAUUUCAGAGACUUCUGGGAUGGUGGAUGGUAAACCUAUCACUUUAGUGACUCCAUAUCUUUGUGUUUUUCCUUUCCAUUCUAGAAAAAAAAAGAAUAAUGGUC